CUCCUCUUUCUCUCUCUCCGUUUUGGUGGUGGGCUGGUUGAAGAUGGAAUCCACUGAGGAAGGCAGGCCUAGGUCUUCAGCAUCCUGUGUGCCAGUCCAGAAGUGGCACUGUGGAAGCCUCUAUAACAUCUGCGGCAGACCCCCUAAAAAUCAAGGGCCUGGGUCUGAACAUUCUCAGUAGGAAUGGUUAAAGGCUGAUGGGACCAUACAGAAAUGAUGCUAGGUAGCUGAUAGAUCUGUAGUUCAACUUGAUUCCUAGAUAGAAGCUGGAUUCAUCUAAUACCAGAAAAAUGAAAUCUCACGUUACUGAAACUAGAUCUGAGUCUCACUUCUUUCCCAGCCUGGAACUCCUGGGUGCUGUGAGUCCUGGAUAUAUAAUAGAUGGUGACAACAUCUUUCUUUUAUGCAUGAAGGUAGAUGAUUCUUCAAAUUAAAGAUGGAAGCUGACUUCUCACCAGAAAUGGUUUGUAGAAUCAACUUACAAAAAUGUCAGAGGCAGCGAAGGAAAGAGUAAAAUAUUUCUUUCUAUCAGCCUUCGAUUCUUUGCUAGAUUGUAAACUUCAUGAAAGCAGAAUAACUUCCUUAUCCCUAAUGCCUGGCCCAGAAUAGAUACUCAAAAAAUAGUUGAAAUGAAUGGAAAUCUCCCUUGGUUUUUUUUUUUUCUUCCUUUUUUAAUCUCUGGAAAAUGGCAACCAUCGUAAUGGCAUUUCCACAAGACAUUUACAUGGAAUAACUAGGACUUAAAUUUUGAUUCUGAUGUAAAAUGUACAUGUAGGUACAUUAAACUAUCUUGGUAAUAAUAAGUCUACUUAAAACUCUUAAUAUUUGAGGCCAGCCCCUUGGCCAAGUGGUUAGGUUCUCAUGCUCCACUUCGGCAGCAUAGGGUUUUGCUACUUUGAAUCCCAGGUGCAGACCUAACACUGCUCAUCAAGCCAUGCUGAGGCAGCGUCCCACAUAGCACAACUACAAGGACCUACAACUAGAGUAUACAACUGUGUACUGGGGGGUCUUGGGGAGAAGAAGAAGAAAAAAGAUUGGCAACAGAUGUUAGCUUAGGUGUCAGUCUUAAAAAAAAAACCUCAAUAUUUGAUUAUGACUUGAUCUUUCAAGAGGCAAUGAAGAAUGACUGCCAAAACAACGUACGUACGUAAGGAAUAGAUAUAUAAAAGCUUACUGAUAUUUAAUAGGAAAUCUUUUAUUAUGAACAGUUUAUUUAUAGCUUUAUUGGAUAUUUAUCACUGACAGAAAUUGCACUUACCACUCAUGUACGGUUAAACAGUCAUUAUUUCUGCUUUAUAUUUAAUAUUGAAAUAUUCUUAAUUGUUUUGGCUAAAUUAAUACCUUGGGACUUGUUUUUGCCCUGUAUACUGUAUUUACAUCCAUGAGGGUAUAUUUAACAUGCAAAGGGUACCAAAUACUCAUUCAAAUAAUGGAAGUCUGGUACAUCUCACUGUGUUUUGGAAUGAGAUUUAAUACUCAUGCUCAUACCAGAAUCACACAAAUGGUAUGCAACUAUAAUCACUUCUGUUAGAGUAUGAAAUCUAUUUUUUAGAUUAAGAUCCUUCUAUUAAAACAAAUAGAAGUAUCAAAUUAGUUUUAGAGUAGAUGAUGCUAACAGUCUAAGAUUCAAAGAUAACGGAAUAAUUAUCUCAAACUCUUGGAGAAAUAUGGUAUGUAAAUACUCAUAAUAUACCUGAUAUUUACUUAGAAUAUCUAUGCAAGAUCAAAAUCAAACUUCAUGGUAAAAAUACCAGUUUUGAAAGGUGAAAGUAACCUGUAAUUAAAUGGUAUAAGUAAUUUAUAAGCACAAAUUGUGCUGACAGAGUUUAUCCAGACUCCUUACCAUAGAAAGAAUAGAUUAAGGAUCUAUAAGUGAAAAGCAAAAUUUAAACCUAUAGAAAAGCAAAGACUGUGACAUUGGAGUACAUAUAAGCACAAAAAGGAAAGUGAUAAAUUUGUGCACACUAAAAUGUUUGCAUACCUUGCACCUGACAAAGGACUCCAUAUGAAUCAAGAAAAUGAUCAAAGGAUAUGAACGGGCAAUUCAUAGAUGAGGAUCCCUGAGUAGUCAUUCAUAGGAAAAGAUGCUUAAUCUCACUAGUAAUCAAAGAAUUGCACAUUAAAACAACAUUGAUAUACAAUUUUACUGCCAUUAGAUGGGCAAAAAUGAAAACAACAUAAACCUCACACUUCCACACAUUGCUAAGUCUGGAGUGUUGGGCUCUCAUCAUUUCUGGUGUCACUGAAAUUUGCUGUUACUUUGGAGAAUGGUUUGGCAGCAUCUAGUUUAUUUGAAGAUGCUUAUACACUAACCCAAUCUCUGGGUAUUAUACUUUAUAGGAAUUCUUGGCAUGUGUACUCAAGGAGAUAUACAGAAAGUUCACUGUGGUAUUGUUUUUAAUUGUAAAAACCUGGAACCAAUGUCCAUUAGAAGGAUGGAUAAAUAAAUUGUGGUAUAUUUGUAGUAUUUGGCUGUUAAAAUGAAUUAACAUAAAGUAUGUAUUAACUUGAUUACAUCUCAAAAAUAAUGAUGACUUAAAAAUGACCAAGUGAUAUGUGCUGUGUGAUAAGAUUUAGCAGUUUUAGAACACGCAAAAGUGUUGUGUACACUUUUAAAAGUGUAAAAGCAUGCAUAAAUACCAAAAUCUGGUUUGUUUACCUUCAGAGGAGGAGGAGAAAGGUAGAUUGAGGUGUACACAGGGAAUGCUUCAAUUGUAUCUGCAGUGUUACUGCAUUAAAAAAUAGCAAAUGUGAGAAAGGUUUGGGUUUAUUAAAGCUGAGUGAUGGUGAUUCUCCACACAUUUUUGAUAUGCUUGAUAUUUGAUAAUAAAAGCCAAUAUUUUAAAAAGCUCUUUUUGUGAAUGAGUCUCUGUAUCCCAGCCUUGAGUGACUUUGGUGGUCUCAUCCCCAGGAGCACCAGUGAAGGGUUUGUCUAUGCCAUGACAGGAAAGGACACAUGCCACCAAGAAGGUUUGUCAGUUCCCAGUGUUCCAGACUACUGGGAUAUUAAGACUUUGUAACUCCCUCCCUUUUUUUCUAUCUGGCAAAAUAUGUAGGCCCCCUACCCCGCCCCCAAAAUGUGUGUAUAUAUAAAAUGUAUUAUUCCUGCAGGCUUUUACCCAAAUGGGUUGGAAAUUGGAAACUGAUUUAGAGAGAAAAUGGUGUGGGGGAACACUAAG
ensembl:lncRNA